rnacentral:rRNA from 1 species
UACAGAGGGUGCAAGCGUUAAUCGGAAUUACUGGGCGUAAAGCGCACGUAGGCGGUUUUUUAAGUCAGAUGUGAAAGCCCCGGGCUCAACCUGGGAAUUGCAUUUGAAACUGGGAAACUAGAGUGUGUGAGAGGGGGGUAGAAUUCCGAGUGUAGCGGUGAAAUGCGUAGAGAUUUGGAGGAAUACCAGUGGCGAAGGCGGCCCCCUGGCACAACACUGACGCUCAGGUGCGAAAGCGUGGGGAGCAAACAGG